AUGUUCCCCCCGUACACUCCAGUUCCUCCGCGCAGUCCGCGCCCACCUGACGGCUGCUCGCUACGUUUUGUUAGCC
rnacentral:sRNA from 1 species